rfam:Schistosoma haematobium scaffold1245_26, whole genome shotgun sequence.
AGCCUUCUGGAUCUGUGCCGCGAUUUUGUCAGGCACCAUACCAUCAGUACUGUUUAGACGCUCAUAAGUGAAGUG